CAUACACGAAUAGGAUAAAGUGAGGAGAAGCUCAGAUCAAACCAUCUUGCCUGGUUAAUAUAUAGAUAGAUUUUCACUAACAUGUGAGUCAAUUUAUGUCUAAAAUAACAAAAAAAAAACCAAUUUUCGGUGCCAAAUAAACACAUUAGUGUGGAUGCGUGUCAGCCUAUGUAAAAAUAUCAUUUUUUUCCUCUGCCCUUGCUUUUGUAAUAUCCACUCUGUUGUUUGAUUUGUUCAAGUAAUAAUUGUUUGGAUAAGUACUAUUGAUCCUUGUUACUUGACUCGACUACUGUAUGGGAUCAUCACAAUUUGUACAUUUCCAGAAUUAAACAUUUAUUUACGACUAUGGAAUCUUUGAUUGCUCUGAGAGAAAAUAUUGCAUAUCCACUUAAUUUGGGUUACUACGGGUAUUUCUGAGAUUUUGUUCAACUAAAUUCAAAUACAGACUUCAAAAUUUACCCACCAAUUUCGGAUUAAAAAAACUUCUUCAGCUUUUAUUUAGUGGCCUUAAAUUAUAUUUUGGAAACAAUUAAUUAUGAUUUUAUACAUAAAUAAUUUUACUUAAUAUUUAAACAAUAAAAGCUGAAAAAGGGAAGAAAACUGGUAAAAAAACCGGCUAUAACCGGUCUGGAAAUGGUCCAAAACGGCUGGAUGACCUGCUCAGCAGGUCACCCACUAUAUAAAGAUCAUUUCCUCUCUUCCUCACCCAAAACCCUAGCCGCUGCCUCUCUCCUUCUCUGAAAUCUCGUCUGCUUCCUCCUCUCUUCAUUUCUUCUUCUUCUUCUUCUUCUUCUUCUUCUUCUUCUUCUUCCUCCCUUUCUCCCUUCUCUCUAAAACCCUAGCCGCUACUCUUACUGUUCUUCCCCUAAUCCUUUUCUUCCUCUGAUUUUUUCCUCUUCUUCUGCUGUUCUUCAAACCGUAUUCUUCUUCUUCCACUCCUCUGGUCCCCUCCACCAUUUUCGCCCCCAAACGAUCCUAAACCCUAAUUUUCGCCCCCUACAGAUCCAAAACCCUCAUUUUUCUCCAAAUCCGAGUUAAGAACCACAUGGAUCGGAGAUUUUUACAAUCUGAGCUACACAAGCAACGAUUUUUUCACCAAAAUCCGAGUCAAGAAGCACCUGGAUCGGACAUUUUAGGCUCUAAGAUCAUCUCCCUGUCAACCAAAUGUGACAUGCAAGCCUCUGAAGAUGGAGUUUUUUUUUUAAUGUAAAUAUCAAUAUGCAGGGUAAAAGAACAAUUUUUUACUGUAAAGUUUGAUUUUUUAUGUAAAGAUGUAUUGUUAUAAGAUCAAUAUCAGUUCUUAUAUGUAUUGCUAUAAGAUGUAUGCUAACCUCUUUGAUGCUCCUUUCCUUCUCCUUCUGCUUGUAUCCUUUUGUUGAUGCAAUUUUGCCUCUACUUCUCCUUC